AAAUGAAUUGACGGGGGCCCGCACAAGCGGUGGAGCAUGUGGUUUAAUUCGACGCAACGCGAAGAACCUUACCAAGGCUUGACAUCCCUCUGCCCGGAUUUUAAUCGAUCCCUUUCUUCGGAACAGAGGAGACAGGUGGUGCACGGUUGUCGUCAGCUCGUGUCGUGAGAUGUUGGGUUAAGUCCCGCAACGAGCGCAACCCCUGCUUCUAGUUGCCAUCAUUAAGUUGGGCACUCUAGAGGGACUGCCGGUGACAAACCGGAGGAAGGUGGGGAUGACGUCAAAUCAUCAUGCCCCUUAUGUCUUGGGCUACACACGUGCUACAAUGGGCAGUACAAAGGGCAGCGAAGCCGCGAGGCGGAGCAAAUCCCAUAAAGCUGUUCUCAGUUCGGAUUGCAGGCUGCAACUCGCCUGUAUGAAGCAGGAAUCGCUAGUAAUCGCAGGUCAGCAUACUGCGGUGAAUACGUUCCCGGGCCUUGUACACACCGCCCGU
rnacentral:rRNA from 1 species